GGGAGGUAACUCGUACACACUGUAGAUUCUAAUUAUUUCACUAUAUGAUAUUACCAAUGACUCAAUCCCCGCAUUUGCUCAUUUAAGGUUCAAAUGUUGUGAAAUCUAUAUCAAAUUAAAGUUUAAAGAUUGCCUUAACAGAAAAAUGUUGUAGUUGUAUAGUUUUAAUUUCAAUGGCAUAUUUUUACACCAGUACCUGGAAAACAGUAACCCAGAUAUUUGCAGUAGACUGGGGAACCCCCAGCUUGGGAAUUCCCGCCUUUUCUAACCCUAACCCAGGCGCGUGCUCGGUUGGAGUAAUCGACCUGUACUGAGCAUGUUCUGCACAGUAAGGUCAACCGAGUGAACAAAAUUGAAAUUCACAUGCGCAGAACAGGAAGUAGCAAAUCGAAGAUGGCUGCCCUUUCAGAACUACGCAAAGGUGCUGUAACUCUAGCCAUACUAGACGAGUUAAUAGAUAGCGAUGAUGUCGACUGCUUGCUCACGUUGUCAACGAAACCCGCGGACAAGUUGAGAGAGCAAAAAUAUAUGGUUAUGUGGAAGAGGUAGUGACAGAAUACACAGACGAAAUAUUUCGCAGAAUGUUUAGAAUGUCCCGUGGAACAUUUAUCAUGGUGGUAUAUUUUAUUUCUGAAUGUCCGGAUUGGCAGUCUAACCACACUGGUGGUUAUAAAAUUACUGAAAUUUAAAAACAAGUAUUAAUCACCUUAUGGUAUCUAGCAGGAACAGGCACUAUUCAGAAAAUAGCUGACGGGUUUGGCGUUGGUGAAGCAACAGUCAUUGAAAGUCGAACGCGUAUAAUGGAUAUCAUUAUAAAUAGACUGAAGAAACUAUUUAUAAAAUGGCCAGACCAGGCUGAUAUUGGCUGAGGAGGCAGAUAUAUUCGCUACAGGGAAUGGCUUUCCAGGAAUUACUGAUGCCUUGGAUAGCACCCACAUCAAAAUCAGUAAACCAAAAGAUCAUCCCCAAUCAUAUUACAACAGGAAACACUUCUACUCAAUUCAACUUCAAGCUGUGUGUGUGCAUGAUAUGAGAUGAAGUCAUGUUUUCAUGGUUUUCCUGGAAAAGUACACGACGCCCGUGUUGUACAGAGAUCUGAUUUAUGGGUUGCAGCUUUGUAAUAUGAUAUACUGUAUCCUAGCUGAUGGAGCUUAACCAAUCAGACGAUGGCUUAUAACACCUUACUGAUGGAGCUUAACCAAUCAGACGAUGGCUUAUAACACCUUACUGAUGGAGCUUAACCAAUCAGACGAUGGCUUAUAACACCUUACUGAUGGAGCUUACCCAAUCAGACGAUGGCUUAUAACACCUUACUGAUGGAGCUUACCCAAUCAGACGAUGGCUUAUAACACCUUACUGAUGGAGCUUACCCAAUCAGACGAUGGCUUAUAACACCUUACUGAUGGAGCUUACCCAAUCAGACGAUGGCUUAUAACACCUUACUGAUGGAGCUUACCCAAUCAUACGAUGGCUUAUAACACCUUACCGUAACAAUGGUCAUCUUGAAGAAAAGGAGCAACGGUGCAAUCAUUAUCACUCUGCUAACAGAGUUGUUAUUGAACGUGCUUUUGAACUUCUUAAAGGGCGGUUUCGGCGACAAAACCAUCUACAUACUCAGGCUAUAAAGACGUCUUGUGACGUGAUCAUGGCCUGUUGUUUCCUGCAUAAUAUUUGCAUCCUUCAGAAAGAUCGAGUUAGUGACAUUCUUGAAAAUGAUGAAGAGAAUGAUGAUCAACCCCUUCAAAAUCCUCACCAAGGCAGAGAACGAUAUGGAGGGUGUUGUCAAAGGGCACUUCAUUACUAAUAAUUUAGUUUAGCAAUAAUAUUGAAUAAAAUGAAUAUUCAAUUUAAUUGCA